CUUUUCGACCUGCCUCCUUUCAAUUAUUGAACUGUGGGUAUUUGAGAGUCUCCUACUUUUAAUACAACAUCCUGGGAGAAAUGAAGAUGUUGUCAGAUAACCCUGGUGACAUGCUUUGUAAGAGUACUGGAAAACAGCUUCAGGGAGCUAAAGGAGCUGGUGAGCCUGCUGUUCUUGAGAGAAGGGAAUCAAGAUUUCCAGGGUGAGCAUGAAUGGAGAGGGAAAUGCUUUCACUUGAAAGAUGUGCAACGUUGAAGAAUUUCCUAUCUGGUCUUUUAUGGAGAUGUACACCCUCAAUGCCAGAUGAGAAAGCAUGAUGAAGCAUCAGAGAG